rnacentral:rRNA from 1 species
AUUGAACGCUGGCGGCAGGCCUAACACAUGCAAGUCGAGCGGUAGAGAGAAGCUUGCUUCUCUUGAGAGCGGCGGACGGGUGAGUAAUGCCUAGGAAUCUGCCUGAUAGUGGGGGAUAACGUCCGGAAACGGACGCUAAUACCGCAUACGUCCUACGGGAGAAAGUGGGGGCUCUUCGGACCUCACGCUAUCAGAUGAGCCUAGGUCGGAUUAGCUAGUUGGUGGGGUAAAGGCUCACCAAGGCGACGAUUCGUAACUGGUCUGAGAGGAUGAGCAGUCACACUGGAACUGAGACACGGUCCAGACUCCUACGGGAGGCAGCAGUGGGGAAUAUUGGACAAUGGGCGAAAGCCUGAUCCAGCCAUGCCGCGUGUGUGAAGAAGGUCUUCGGAUUGUAAAGCACUUUAAGUUGGGAGGAAGGGUCGUUACCUAAUACGUGGCGAUUUUGACGUUACCGACAGAAUAAGCACCGGCUAACUCUGUGCCAGCAGCCGCAGUAACAC